GACUCGAUCUUAAAUGUCUUUUCCAACCUAAAUGAUUCUUAGUUCUGUGAUGCUAUUCUUUGAUUUUUCAGCCUUGUGAGCAGAUUAUCGAACUGUGCAGGCGCAUAACAAAGCACCUGGGACCCAAAGACCUCAGGUGGCUGACAUUCUUCAAGAACUGCAUGAAACAAAUCAGAAGCAGGGAAAAUUAGAGGAAAUUGUGUUUGUGGAAGAAGCAGUCAUGUUAAAAUCAGAGAUGGAGGUUUGAGCCACCAGAAGAGAGAAACUUAAGCAUCCUCAUGCAUCACCUUUCUGUCUGUGUAACUAUACAGCGCUGAAUCAUAAUUUUUUUUUAGCAAUCACCUGCAGCCAUACGCUUGGCGAGACAGUACUGCUGUUGGUACAUGCACUUCCUGGGGUGUGGUGAGCACAGGCACUCGACUGAAGAAGCAUUCCCUUGACAUUUCUGCUGUUCAAGGCAUUCACACAGACAUUUACAACAGCAAGUCUUGCUGAGCACAGAAUUGUGGCUGAAGUAAAUAAUCAUAUUUCAUGUUAAUUUGAAUACCUCAUCCUGUUGCUGUUUAGCUUUGCCAGCAUAUUCAGAGUAAUAUUCUCUGGAAGCUUCUCCAGUGAAGUUCUGUCGGGAGUUCACUGCUGUUGGAACAAAACAUCUGUUUCCAGCUGUGUUUCCUUCAAGCUUUUGUGUGGGACUUAGCAUUCAGCAGUCUUCAGAGCUUCUCCAAAUAAUAGUUAAUUUUCUUUCCCAACAUCUUACCAGUUUACCAUAGCUGAAGAGCAGUUGAUGUGCACCAAAAGAAGCUGCUGCCAGUCAAACACCAGUUCAUUUCAACCAUUGGUUCAUGUCCUGUAAAACCUCCAAGAUGGGGCUUCUUGACUAUUUUAGCAGAAAUGUUUGAGAAACACUUGGAUACUUUGGGAAUGGGUUUAGGUGUUGAUUUAUACAGAAAUGGGCAAUAAACGGCUUCUACCGAUUAAGAGCUUGGGAAGCUUGUGUAACAAUCUGUUCUGUUUCAAAUUUCUGACCUGAGAUAACCCAUGUAAUUCAUCUGCCUUAUUUGAGUGUUGUAAGAAUAGCCGCAUGUUCCUAUAUAUUCUGGUAUCAUAGUAAUAGGAGCUAUGUAAAUGCUUUAGCAAGACAGAUAAAAUAGCAGGGGACAGAGAUAAUCCCUGGCAUGUCUCCUGGGCACCUCCCAUCUAAAUAUGAAUCACUCUUCACCCAGGCAGAUUUUAUUUACGUCCUUAUUCACAACCACACAUUUAGGAUGUGGAUGUGGUGACACUAGUUAUUUUGUCUUUAGUUUUUUGCAAAAAAGGUAAAGAAACUACAGUUAGAUGU